AUUGAACGCUGGCGGCAUGCUUUACACAUGCAAGUCGAACGGUAACAGCACUUCGGUGGCUGACGAGUGGCGAACGGGGGCGUAAUACAUCGGAACGUACCUAGUAGUGGGGGAUAACUACUCGAAAGAGUAGCUAAUACCGCAUGAGAUCUAAGGAUGAAAGCAGGGGACCUCCGGGCCUUGCGCUACUAGAGCGGCCGAUGGCAGAUGAGCUAGGUGGUGGGAUAAAAGCUUACCAAGCCAACGAUCUGUAGCUGACCUGAGAGGACGACCGGCCACACGGGAACGGAGACACGGGCCAGACUCCUCCGGGAGGCAGCAGUGGGGAAUCUUCCGCAAUGGGCGAAAGCCUGACGGAGCAACGCCGCGGGAGUGAUGAAGGUCUUCGGAUCGUAAAACUCUGUUAUGAGGGAAGAACAAAUGUGGAAGUAACUAGGCACGUCUUGACGGUACCUAAGCAGAAAGCCACGGCUAACUACGUG
rnacentral:rRNA from 1 species